rnacentral:rRNA from 1 species
UAAAAAAUUUUGGCGGUAUUUUAAGCUUAUUAGAGGAAUUUGCUCUGUGAUGGACACAACGCCUUAAUCUUACUUAAUUUAGUAAUUUAAAUCAGUUUGUAUACCACUAUAUUAAUUAUAUUGAAUAGUUAUAUUUAAAAUUUUCUUAAAAAAAUAUAUUAAGUCAAGGUGCAUCUAAUAAUUAUGAAUGAAGUGAAUUACAUUAAUUUUAAUGUAAUUUUUUACAUGAAAAAAUUAAUUAGGAUUUAAUAGUAAAAUACUAAUAUUAUGAGUAUUUGAAUCAAGCUCUAAAAUAUGCACAUAUCGCCCGUCGCUCUCAGAAGUGAGAUAAGUCGUAACAAAGUAAAAAUACUGGAAAGUGUUUUUUAAAAUGAAAUCAUUUGAUGUUUCAUUUACAAUGAAAAUUUUGUUGUUUAACCAUUUUAA